UGAACGCUAGCUACAGGCUUAACACAUGCAAGUCGAGGGGCAGCAUGAAGUUGCUGCAAACUUGAUGGCGACCGGCGCACGGGUGAGUAACGCGUAUCCAACCUUCCCCCUAGCAGGGCAUAGCCCGUAGAAAUGCGGAUUAACACCCUAUGUUGUGUUUUGAGGACAUCUGACGAACACUAAAGUUUUACGCUAGGGGAUGGGGAUGCGUUCGAUUAGCUUGACGGCGGGGUAACGGCCCACCGUGGCCACGAUCGGUAGGGGUUCUGAGAGGAAGGUCCCCCACACUGGAACUGAGACACGGUCCAGACUCCUACGGGAGGCAGCAGUGAGGAAUAUUGGUCAAUGGGCGUAAGCCUGAACCAGCCAAGUAGCGUGGAGGAAGACGGCCCUACGGGUUGUAAACUCCUUUUAUGCGGGGAUAAAGUGCAGCACGUGUGCUGUUUUGCAGGUACCGCAUGAAUAAGGACCGGCUAAUUCCGUGCCAGCCGCAGC
rnacentral:rRNA from 1 species